UUGGAGAGGCUGGGCGUCCCAGGAUCAGGGUACUACCCUCAAGCUGUAGGAGGGAAGGCGAGCAGAGAAGAGCGCAGAGGGGAGGAAAGAAGAGGCCGAAGGCAGUCAAGUCCCCUAUCCCUGCACAGGCGACGCCGAGUGAGGCUGAGGUUGGGAGCGAAUCGCCGAAGAGCUGCGUGUCGGCAGCGCAGUCUGAUUGGACAGCGGAGAAGCCUGUCAGCUUAUUGGCCCCGCUGGUUCCGCCCCGUAGCGCAGGGCAGCCUUUAACCUUUGGCCCCAGUGGGCUCCAGCCACUCAGAUCGCUUCUUGUUGGUAUGUGUAGCGGCAGUGGCCGCCGGCGGAGCAGUCUGAGCCCGACGAUGAGGCCGGGGACGGGAGCUGAGCGAGGAGGCCUCAUGGUGAGUGAAAUGGAGAGCCAUCCUCCCUCGCGGGGUCCCGGGGACGGGGAGCGGAGAUUGUCCGGCUCAAGCCUCUGCUCCAGCUCUUGGGUCUCUGCUGACGGCUUCCUGAGGAGACGGCCCUCGAUGGGGCACCCUAGCAUGCAUUAUGCCCCAAUGGGAAUGCACCCUAUGGGUCAGAGAGCGAAUAUGCCUCCUGUACCUCAUGGAAUGAUGCCGCAAAUGAUGCCCCCUAUGGGAGGGCCACCAAUGGGACAAAUGCCUGGAAUGAUGUCUUCAGUAAUGCCUGGAAUGAUGAUGUCUCAUAUGUCUCAGGCUUCCAUGCAACCUGCUUUACCGCCAGGAGUAAAUAAUAUGGAUGUAGCAGCAGGUGCAACAUCAGGCGCCAAAUCAAUGUGGACUGAACAUAAGUCACCUGAUGGAAGGACCUACUACUAUAAUACUGAAACAAAGCAGUCUACUUGGGAGAAGCCAGAUGAUCUUAAAACCCCUGCCGAGCAACUUUUAUCUAAAUGCCCUUGGAAGGAAUACAAAUCUGACUCUGGAAAGCCUUACUAUUAUAAUUCUCAAACAAAAGAAUCCCGCUGGGCCAAACCUAAAGAACUUGAGGAUCUUGAAGGAUACCAGAAUACCAUUGUUGCUGGAAGUCUUAUUACAAAAUCAAACCUGCAUGCAAUGAUCAAAGCUGAAGAAAGCAGUAAACAAGAAGAGUGCACCACAACAUCAGCAGCCCCAGUUCCUACAACAGAAAUUCCAACCACAAUGAGCACCAUGGCUGCUGCAGAAGCGGCAGCUGCUGUUGUUGCGGCAGCAGCUGCAGCCGCAGCUGCAGCUGCUGCAGCCAAUGCCAGUGCUUCCACCUCUGCUUCUAGUACUGUCGGUGGAACUGUUCCAGUCGUUCCUGAGCCUGAGGUUACUUCGAUUGUUGCUACUGUUGUAGAUAAUGAAAAUACAGUAACAAUUUCGACUGAAGAACAAGCACAACUUACUAGUACCCCUGCUGUUCAGGAUCAAAGUGUUGAAGUGUCUAGUAAUACUGGAGAAGAAACAUCUAAGCAGGAAGCCGUAGCUGAUUUUACUCCUAAAAAAGAAGAGGAAGAAAACCAACCAGCAAAAAAAACAUAUACUUGGAAUACAAAGGAGGAAGCAAAGCAAGCAUUUAAAGAAUUACUGAAAGAAAAGCGGGUACCAUCAAAUGCUUCAUGGGAACAAGCUAUGAAAAUGAUUAUUAAUGACCCACGAUACAGUGCUUUAGCAAAGUUGAGUGAAAAGAAGCAGGCCUUUAAUGCUUAUAAAGUCCAGACAGAAAAAGAAGAAAAAGAAGAAGCAAGAUCCAAAUACAAAGAGGCUAAGGAAUCCUUUCAACGUUUUCUUGAAAAUCAUGAGAAAAUGACUUCUACAACUAGAUACAAAAAAGCAGAGCAAAUGUUUGGAGAGAUGGAAGUCUGGAAUGCAAUAUCAGAACGUGAUCGUCUUGAAAUCUAUGAAGAUGUUUUAUUCUUUCUUUCAAAAAAAGAAAAGGAGCAAGCAAAGCAGUUACGAAAAAGAAAUUGGGAAGCCUUAAAAAACAUACUUGACAACAUGGCUAAUGUGACAUAUUCUACUACUUGGUCCGAAGCCCAGCAGUAUCUGAUGGAUAAUCCAACUUUUGCAGAAGAUGAGGAAUUACAGAACAUGGAUAAAGAAGAUGCAUUAAUUUGCUUUGAAGAACACAUUCGGGCUUUAGAAAAGGAAGAAGAAGAAGAAAAACAGAAGAGUUUGCUGAGGGAAAGGAGACGACAGCGUAAAAAUAGAGAAUCUUUUCAGAUAUUUUUAGAUGAAUUGCAUGAACAUGGACAACUGCAUUCUAUGUCAUCUUGGAUGGAAUUAUAUCCAACAAUUAGUUCUGAUAUUAGAUUCACUAAUAUGCUUGGUCAGCCGGGAUCAACUGCACUUGACCUUUUCAAGUUUUAUGUUGAGGAUCUUAAAGCACGUUACCAUGAUGAGAAGAAGAUAAUAAAAGACAUUCUAAAGGAUAAAGGAUUUGUAGUUGAAGUAAAUACUACUUUUGAAGACUUUGUGGCAAUAAUCAGUUCAACAAAAAGAUCAACCACAUUAGAUGCAGGAAACAUUAAGUUAGCUUUCAAUAGUUUACUAGAAAAGGCAGAAGCCCGUGAACGUGAAAGGGAAAAAGAGGAGGCUCGGAAGAUGAAACGAAAAGAAUCGGCAUUUAAGAGUAUGUUGAAACAAGCAACUCCUCCAAUAGAAUUGGAUGCUGUCUGGGAAGAUGUAUGUAUGUUUUUAAAUUUUGCUGAUGAACUGCUUCCUUUACAAUUGAAGAUAAAAAUAGUUUUAAUUUAUUUCCUAUUUUAUAGCCACAGUGAUAAGCUGAAGUUAUUUGUAGAGUAUGAAGUCAGCUGUGACUGAAUUUAGGAAUACUAGAGGAAAGGAAAUAAAAACUUUAAGGAGAUGUGUCACAGUUUUACUUUGCCGUUUUUUGUUUGUUUUUAAUUGUGGCUUUGAGUUUGUUUUUGUGGGGUCGGGGGAGGGGCCAAGGCCAUCCUUGUGGCAUAUGGAAGUUCCCAGACCAGGGAUCAAAUCCAAGCCACAAGCCAUAGCACACCAGAUCCUUAACCUAUAGCCACAGCAGGAACUCCUUCAUUUGCUGUUUUGAUUACUUUUUUAGUCAUAUUAGUGUACUUUUCUCAGUAUUGAUACAUUUAUUCCAUAUCUGAAUUUUUCAGAUCCGGGAGAGAUUUGUAAAAGAGCCAGCGUUUGAGGAUAUAACUCUAGAAUCUGAAAGAAAACGAAUAUUUAAAGAUUUUAUGCAUGUGCUUGAGGUAAUUUUAGUAUUCUCAUAAAUGGCUAAAAUACUACAAAAUGUAUAAAAAUAAAAACAAAAACAGUAAUUUGGAAUGAUCCAAUUAUGUUUCUAAAAUUUAUUUAUUUAUACUGCAUUUAUUUAUACAGUGUAUUUACCUGGGAUGAUUAGGGAAUGGUUUCUUCUAUAAAAAUUGCCUUUUUUUUUUUUUUUUUUUUUUGCCAUUUCUUGGGCCACUGCCAUGGCAUAUAGAGUUUCCCCGGCUAGGGGUCGAAUCAGAGCUGUAGCUGCCUGCCUACACCAGAGCCACAGCAACGCAGGGUCCGAGCCUCGUCUGCGACCCACAGCACAGCUCACGGCAAUGCUGAAUCCUUAACCCACUGAGCAAGGCCAGGGAUCGAACCCACAACCUCAUGGUUCCUAGUUGGAUUCGUUAACCACUGAGCUACGACGGGAGCUCCAAAAUUACUUUUAAGUUAAACAAAGCUUGCAUAGGAAUUUAAAGAUCUGUUUGUGGAGAUUGUUCAUAUUUGUUUUAUAUUUUUACAGCGUUACAGAAAUUCAGCAAUUUAACACUCACAUGGGAUGACGACAGAUCCUAAGAGAAUUUAGAAUCUUGUAAAGUGGUCAGAAAACAGCUAUCAAGCACAUUUCAAGAAUUAUACUACAUUAGAUGUGUGGGAAGCUCAGGAAUAUUAGGUUUUUGUUAAAAUAAGUAAUGAUAAAAUUAUAGAUUACUAGAUGAUUUAAGGGUAUUUUGGUGAAGAUUUCACGUAGACACUAAUGGGGAAUAAGAAAUGUAAAUUGACCCAGUAAUUAUUGAGUAUUUGGUGCCUAUGUGGCCAGGCAUGUUCUAACUGUUUUACAAAUAUUGCAUAUGGACUUAAUCCUCACAACAAUCCUGUGAAGUUACAGAUGAGCUACCUGAGGCAAAGAGAAAAAAUUUGCAGGGAAGGGAUUCUAUCUAAUUCAGGCUUUUUGACUCAAAGGCCAAUGAUUUUUAACAAAUAAGCUUUCAGUUGUAGACAGAUAUUUUACAACAAGCUGAAAACUAGCACAUACUUAAUAUCAUAGUGCUGCAUAGUCAUUGGGCAGAGCAUAUCACUUAAUUGACUGUUGACUCUUUCAUUGGAUUUAUUGUUCUUGAUGAAUAUCAAUGUUGACAACAGUUUGCUCUGUUAACAUGCACCUACAUUACAGUAUAUUAUUGCUCAGCUGCCUGUAGAUCUUUUCUACCCGUAGUACAUUUCAGACCACCAACAUCUGCAUUACCUGGAAGCUUCUUAGAAAUAUUGAACCUUAGGUCCCAUCAGCAGAAGUCCUGUGUCAGAAUCGUCAUUUUAACAAGAUUGUCAAGCUUUAGAAUGUACAUUUAAUUUUGAAAAGCUCUGCUCUAGGUAGUGUCUUAACAUUUUCCCCCAAUUCAGGAGUCUCCAAAGAAGAGAAGUCUCUUUCGUGAUCUAUGCUGGGGGUAAUUGCUAAAUGGAGCUAAUGCCGGCACAUAGGGAAGGGCUGAACAUAUUAGGAUAGGUUUUGGACCCUAAUAAUAUGGGUCUCGAGGUAGAAAACGAAGGAGAGUUAACAUUCAGUAAUAUUAAAAAAAAGAAUAAGAGUCCCUGAACUAGAUUUUCCAUUUCCACUUGUAAACCAAAGCAGAAUUUAUUUUCAAAGCCUUAGGUAUGUUUGGGGGCAAGGAGCUUUUAUUGCUAUAUAUCCCCUUUCCUGCUAGCCUACUAAUUGUUACAGUAAAAUAGUUCAAGCCCACAGAUAUCACAUGAAACCAGAAAAGAAAAUGUUAAGUUAGAAUUAUUAAAUUGUCUUUGAAUGUCUUAAGUUUGAGUAGGAAGGGGAUACUUUUGGGUGAAAAGAAAGAGUAGAUUUUGCAUUUUAAUAUCUGAGACCAACUUCAGUGAAGUUCAAGGAUGUCUCUGGGGUGGUUCUUUAUCUCAGUGCUGAGCCUAGCUCACUAACCAAAACCACAUUCAUCAAGAAACCUAUGUUUCAAUGUAAUUGUAUUUCAUUGUUUUUGAAAGCAGUGUUAACUCUUCUGCAGAUUAUUCCUUUAUGGAGGGUAUCAAUUAUCCCUAUUGUACCCACACCAUUCUCAUUGCUACAAAAAGUAUUUUAAUAACAUCGUUGUGUUUAGAUGUCAAUUGAGUUGGGUAUGGGAUAGUUAAGAAGGAACAGAAGAGAACAUUUAGAUAAUAAUUCUUUGCACAGUUUCAUGGUUGGGAGUACAUUCUAAAUAAGCAAACUGAAGGCAUUUUUAUUCUAAAAUUACUUGUGAAGCUUUAAAAAGAUCUUAUGAUCUACUGUCUAAAGUGUGAACUCCUUGAAAUUUUUUUUCUUUCACUCCAUGUAGCAUGAAUGUCAACAUCAUCAUUCAAAGAACAAGAAACAUUCUAAGAAAUCUAAAAAACAUCACAGGAAACGUUCCCGCUCUCGAUCAGGGUCAGAUUCAGAUGAUGAUGACAGCCAUUCAAAGAAAAAAAGACAGAGAUCAGAGUCUCGCUCUGCUUCAGAACAUUCUUCUAGUGCUGAAUCUGAGAGAAGUUAUAAGAAAUCAAAAAAACAUAAGAAGAAAAGCAAGAAGAGAAGGCAUAAAUCUGACUCCCCAGAAUCAGAUGCUGAACGAGAGAAGGAUAAAAAAGAAAAAGACCGGGAAAGUGAAAAAGACAGAACUAGACAAAGAUCAGAAUCAAAACACAAAUCACCUAAGAAAAAGACUGGAAAGGAUUCUGGUAAUUGGGACACUUCUGGCAGUGAACUGAGUGAAGGGGAAUUAGAAAAGCGCAGAAGGACCCUUCUGGAGCAACUGGAUGAUGAUCAAUAAAUUAUACCAAAUAUGUU